rfam:Triticum aestivum genome assembly, contig: Triticum_aestivum_CS42_TGACv1_scaffold_179107_2DS
CACAUACUCCCUCCGUUCAAAAAUAUUUGUUGAAGAUAUGGAUGUAUCUAGACAUAUUUAGUUCUAGAUACAUCCAUUUUAUCAAUUUUCUGACAAGUAUUUCCGGACGGAGGGAGUAUAUG